rnacentral:rRNA from 1 species
UACGUGAGGGGCGAACGUUGUUCGGUGUCACUGGGCUUAAAGGGCGCGUAGGUGGCUGUGCAAGUAAGGUGUGAAAGCCCUCGGCUUACCCGGGGAAUUGCGCCUUAAACUGCAUGGCUUGAGGGUCUCAGGGGAUAGGGGAACUCCAGGUGUAGCGGUGAAAUGCGCAGAUAUCAGGAGGAACACCGGUGGCGAAGGCGGGUCUCUGGGCCGAUAUUGACGCUGAGGAGCGAAAGCGUGGGGAGCGAACAGG